GUGAACAUUCAACGCUGUCGGUGAGUUUG
ensembl:miRNA microRNA 181a-1